UACAGGGGGUGCAAACGUUGCUCGGAAUCACUGGGCGUAAAGGGCGCGUAGGCGGCUUUAUAAGUCGGGGGUGAAAGCCUGUGGCUCAACCACAGAAUUGCCUUCGAUACUGUAGAGCUUGAGACCGGAAGAGGUAAGUGGAACUGCGAGUGUAGAGGUGAAAUUCGUAGAUAUUCGCAAGAACACCAGUGGCGAAGGCGGCUUACUGGUCCGGUUCUGACGCUGAGGCGCGAAAGCGUGGGGAGCAAACAGG
rnacentral:rRNA from 1 species